rnacentral:rRNA from 1 species
AUUGAACGCUGGCGGCAGGCCUAACACAUGCAAGUCGAGCGGAGCGGCGGACGGGCGGGUAAGGCCUAGGAAGCUGCCUGGUAGUGGGGGAUAACGUCCGGAAACGGGAGCUAAUACCACAUACUAUCAGAUGAGCCUAGGUGGGGGUAGCUAGUUGGAAGGGUAAAGGCCUACCAAGGCGACGAUCCGUAGCUGGUCUGAGAGGCUGAUCAGUCAAACUGGAACUGAGACACGGUCCAGACUCCUACGGGAGGCAGCAGUGGGGAAUCUUGGGCAAUGGGCGAAAGCCUGACCCAGCCAUGCCGCGUGUGUGAAGAAGGUCUUCGGAUUGUAAAGCACUUUGAGUUGGGAGGCGGUACCAACAGAAUAAGCAACGGCUAACUACGUGCCAGCAGCCGCGGUAAUAC